UCGGUGCCAACUGUUCCAACAAUUACCUGAUAAAUUUCGAAAAAUAUUAAGUCUACAGCCCAUUUUGCGUUACAAUCUAUACAACCCUUCGCCCCGGUGUUAUCCAUACAAAUAAAUUAAUUGACAGUUUCUUCUGUACACGUGUCCACUCCUCCUUUCUUCUGUUCUCUCUUCAUCUCUUCUCUCUCCUCCCUCCCAUACCAAAUAUGAAUUUUAUGAUUACAUCUUAGGAAGAUAUCAAAUCUUUCCAAAUCCACCUCGAGAAGGUACCAAAUCUAUACAAUGAUUACACCUUGGAAAGGUACUAAAUCUUUCCAAAUCUACCUCGACAAGGUACCAAAUCUAUCCAAUGAUUACACCUCGGGAAGGUAAUAAAUCUUUCCAAAUCCACCUCGGAAAGAUACCAAAUCUAUCCAAUUUUUUUUUUUUUGACAAAAUUCU
rnacentral:lncRNA from 1 species